rnacentral:rRNA from 1 species
UACAGAGGAGCCAAGCGUUGUCCGGAUUGACUGGGCGUAAAGCGCACGCAGGCGGAUGCGCGCGUGGGGUGUGAAAUCUGGCCGCUUAACGGCCAGGCGCCAUCCCAUACGGCGCGUCUGGAGUGAUGCAGAGGUCGGUGGAAUUGCCGGUGUAGUGGUGAAAUGCGUAGAGAUCGGCAGGAACACCCAGGGGGAAACCAGCCGACUGGGCAUGCCGUACUGACGCUG